GAUGAAGAACGCAGCGAAAUGCGAUAAGUAAUGCGAAUUGCAGAAUCCGUGAGUCAUCGAAUCUUUGAACGCACAUUGCGCCCUUUGGUAUUCCGAAGGGCAUGCCUGUUCGAGCGUCAUUAUCACCCCUCAAGCCCCGGCUUGGUGUUGGGCUCUCGGUGGUCGUCUCCGACCACCCGUCUCAAAGAUAGUGACGGCGUCCCAGAGGGAACCGGUACGAGGAGCUUUCACGAGCAUGUACGCGGGACGACUCUGCGGGCGACGGUCUUAUUUACUUUAUAUACAAGUGUUGACCUCGGAUCAGGUAGGAAUACCCGCUGAACUUAAGCAUAUCAAUCAGCGGAGGA
rnacentral:misc_RNA from 1 species